GAUGAACGCUGGCGGCGUGCCUAAUACAUGCAAGUCGAGCGAACGGACGAGAAGCUUGCUUCUCUGAUGUUAGCGGCGGACGGGUGAGUAACACGUGGAUAACCUACCUAUAAGACUGGGAUAACUUCGGGAAACCGGAGCUAAUACCGGAUAAUAUUUUGAACCGCAUGGUUCAAAAGUGAAAGACGGUCUUGCUGUCACUUAUAGAUGGAUCCGCGCUGCAUUAGCUAGUUGGUAAGGUAACGGCUUACCAAGGCAACGAUGCAUAGCCGACCUGAGAGGGUGAUCGGCCACACUGGAACUGAGACACGGUCCAGACUCCUACGGGAGGCAGCAGUAGGGAAUCUUCCGCAAUGGGCGAAAGCCUGACGGAGCAACGCCGCGUGAGUGAUGAAGGUCUUCGGAUCGUAAAACUCUGUUAUUAGGGAAGAACAUAUGUGUAAGUAACUGUGCACAUCUUGACGGUACCUAAUCAGAAAGCCACGGCUAACUACGUGCCAGCAGCCGCGGUAAUACGUAGGUGGCAAGCGUUAUCCGGAAUUAUUGGGCGUAAAGCGCGCGUAGGCGGUUUUUUAAGUCUGAUGUGAAAGCCCACGGCUCAACCGUGGAGGGUCAUUGGAAACUGGAAAACUUGAGUGCAGAAGAGGAAAGUGGAAUUCCAUGUGUAGCGGUGAAAUGCGCAGAGAUAUGGAGGAACACCAGUGGCGAAGGCGACUUUCUGGUCUGUAACUGACGCUGAUGUGCGAAAGCGUGGGGAUCAAACAGGAUUAGAUACCCUGGUAGUCCACGCCGUAAACGAUGAGUGCUAAGUGUUAGGGGGUUUCCGCCCCUUAGUGCUGCAGCUAACGCAUUAAGCACUCCGCCUGGGGAGUACGACCGCAAGGUUGAAACUCAAAGGAAUUGACGGGGACCCGCACAAGCGGUGGAGCAUGUGGUUUAAUUCGAAGCAACGCGAAGAACCUUACCAAAUCUUGACAUCCUUUGACAACUCUAGAGAUAGAGCCUUCCCCUUCGGGGGACAAAGUGACAGGUGGUGCAUGGUUGUCGUCAGCUCGUGUCGUGAGAUGUUGGGUUAAGUCCCGCAACGAGCGCAACCCUUAAGCUUAGUUGCCAUCAUUAAGUUGGGCACUCUAAGUUGACUGCCGGUGACAAACCGGAGGAAGGUGGGGAUGACGUCAAAUCAUCAUGCCCCUUAUGAUUUGGGCUACACACGUGCUACGAUGGACAAUACAAAGGGCAGCGAAACCGCGAGGUCAAGCAAAUCCCAUAAAGUUGUUCUCAGUUCGGAUUGUAGUCUGCAACUCGACUACAUGAAGCUGGAAUCGCUAGUAAUCGUAGAUCAGCAUGCUACGGUGAAUACGUUCCCGGGUCU
rnacentral:rRNA from 1 species